rnacentral:misc_RNA from 1 species
UACGGAGGGUGCGAGCGUUAAUCGGAAUUACUGGGCGUAAAGCGCACGUAGGUGGUUUGGUAAGUCGGAUGUGAAAGCCCAGGGCUUAACCUUGGAAUUGCAUUCGAAACUGUCUGACUAGAGUUUGGUAGAGGAAGGCGGAAUUCCGGGUGUAGCGGUGAAAUGCGUAGAUAUCCGGAGGAACACCGGUGGCGAAGGCGGCCUUCUGGACUAAAACUGACGCUGAGGUGCGAAAGCGUGGGGAGCAAACAGG